AGAGUUUGAUCCUGGCUCAGGAUGAACGCUAGUUAGAAGCUUAAUACAUGCAAGUCGAAUGGACUGGAAACAGUUACAUGGCGCACGGGUGAAUUUACGUAGGAAUCUAGCCAGAUGACCUUGAUAAAAACGAGGAUAAUAAAUAAAUUUCGAAAGAAGCAUUUGGAUGAGCUUACGCGGGAUUAGGUAGUUGGUGUGGUAAAAGCGCACCAAGCCUAAGAUCCCAAGCUACUCUGAGAGGAGGAAUAGCCGCAUCAGGUAUGAGAGAAGGCCUGAACUUCGAUAGAAGGCAGCAGUAGGGAAUAUUGGACAAUGGGCGAAAGCCUGAUCCAGCUAUCUAACGUGGAGGAAGAGGACAUAUCGUUCAUAAACUCCUUUCGACGAAGAGUAUAAUGAAGCUAUUCGUAGAAGAAGUCCCGGCAAAUUUCGUGCCAGCAGCCGCGGUAAUACGAAAGGGGCAAGCGUUAUCCGGAAUUAUUGGGCGUAAAGGGUUUGUAGGCGGUCCAAGAAGUAUGUAAUGAAAGCACUUUAAAAAGGAGUAACUGUUGCAUAGCCCUUAGGACUUGAGGUCAAAAGACGAGAAUCGAAUUUCAGGUGGAGCGAUAAAAUGCAAAGAUAUCUGAAGGAAGACCAAAAGCGAAGGCAGUUCUCGAGGUUGAACCUGACGUUGAAAAACGAAAGCGUGGGGAGCAAACGGGAUUAGAGACCCCGGUAGUCCACGCCCUAAACGAUGUGUGACUUUCUAGGACCUAUACAUAGAGUAUAGAGCGAACUAGAAAAAGCUAACGCGAUCACACCGCCUGGGGAGUACGGCCGCAAGGCUGAAACUCAAAGGAAUUGACGG
rnacentral:rRNA from 1 species